AGGGCAGGGGCCCACGCGCAGCCAUCCUCCAGAGAGCAUCAGUCUAGGCUGCAAGCUUGAAGCGGAGCAGAGAGUGGGGAGCAGGUGGAAAUGAUGCUGCCUGGUCCCUGGGAGCCACCUGGAGGCUGCCCACCAUCCUUGAAAGGGGCAGAGAGGAGAGAGACAAGCCCAGCAAAGCUGGUGGCCUUUGACUGCAAGCACUGUCCUGGGGGCCCAGCCCUGCCUGCUGCCCUUUCCUCCCAGGUCAUAUGAAGGCUGCCGUGGACCAUCUGGUGACCAGAGGGGCCUGCCCAACAUCCCUCAGGGCCCAGUGCCUGUCUCAGGGCUUAGAGGGCUUCGGUCAGCCACAGAUGCCCAGUGUGGGCAAGUGGGCGGGUGUCAGUCCAUCAACGCAAAACGGCACUGCCCAGCCCAAACCACAGGAAGAAGAGAUAUUCAGACAGUCAUUCAGUAAACAGAAGACACUUCACUGAACCCAGAGGAGGUAAACGCCCACGUCUGACUUUUCGGGGGAAGGAGAACAUGACAAACACAAUCUAAGCAAGGGCUUAUGAGAAAAGAAAAGGUUUUACUGCGUGGGUUCUGGCAUGGGUACCCGUCGGGUCAUUCUGAGUUCAGAGUCCUGACCACUGACUUUUCCAAGUUCAGUGCCAAGGCUGUGCUGUCUCAGAAAGAUCCCUCCACUCCCAAGGCAAGGAGCUAAGGAGGGUUUCCACUCAGAUAACCUGAAACUCAAGAAAUGAAACUGAAUGAGCUCCUGGGCCCCUGGAUUAAGUGCAGUUUUCGUGUGCUUACCCUGGCAGAGGGCAGAGCCACCUUGCUCCCUUGUCCCCUCCCCACCUCCCGGUCCACAGCCAGAGGAGAUGGGCCCUAGCAAAUGGUGGCAGAAAGGCUGAAAGCCAGAUUCGCCUCUGAGCCCUUGGCCGGCCUGAUGUUGCGAAGAUCUUGAUGCUGCUGCUUCGAGCAUCACCGGUGCUGUGAGUGGUGCCAGGAGACGCACAGGCAUGUGCUCAGAGGCGGAAAGGCUGGGCUCGCCUCUGUCCCUUAUAUGGUGAGGCUGGGGAAAAAAACCCGUGUGGCUUCUCCAGAAUGCUUCAUCGACACCCUUGGCCCCUGCUUAGAUCCUAUGUGGCGACUGUUUCCUGCUAAGGUUAUGACAUCACUGCAUGAUCUUUCCUCUUGAGCAAAGUGGGGUCCAGGUGUUCCUCGUGGGGUGGACCCCAACACUGAAAAGGACAAGAGUCAAUGAUGGCAUUCACUCCCCAGGAAAUACACUGUUUCUCAGGGAAACGGCAGAAGCCCCAAAUGCAUCUGCCGUACAAAGCUAGAUCAGCAGAACAGCGGGUUUAGACUCGGAGGCCAGUUCUGUUCUGCCAGCAGGAAGAGAGAUGAUGCAGAAUGUGGUUUAUAGUUCCUGGGGUUUAGGGAGCUCAGAAACUCCCUGUCUCCCUGCCCUUGCCGCACCGUUGUUAACUGUGGAGGACAUUCUGCCCUCUCCUAGUACUGACAUUGAGUUUCCCGCAGCCUCAGUUUAUUUGUCAGCAAAAUGGGAAACCUCAUUACUCUACCUGGGGUAUCAAAGAGGUGGGAGUGGCUCUCGUGGGGGCUUCCCUCAGCCUCUCCUCCCCCUCGGUCCCCCUUCUCUCGUUCUCCCCUGCCUUCUGCUUGUUCUCUUUUUCCUCCCACUCUCCUGGUCCUCUCUCUUCUCUCCUCUCUGCCCACUCCAGGCAGGAAGCUGAACAGUGGGUUAAGAAGCACUGCUUUGCAGAAACACAGCCAGUGUACGAUCUUGCUUUUCCCAGCUGGGCAUGUGUUUAUUUACAUUUAGGAACGUGAGGUGGGAGGCUUAGCUAAGAGUUUCUGAGGCCGGGGAAAAUGACAGCAAUCCUUAAAAUGAUGCCCUCGCCACUGUGCUCAGCUGGCGCUGGGCCCAGGUGGCCACUGAGCCCUGAGUAGAGGGGCUUGGGGAAGGCGGUGUGGGACAGCAGGAGGGCUACGUUUCCCCCGAUGUCAGGAUCCACGUACUCAGUGUUCUCAAGCCAAGAGAGAGAGACAGAAGCACGACACCGAGACAGCCAGAGAGACAGAGAUGAGAGAGGGAAAAGACCAAAACUCAAAAGGGUCAAGAGAAAGAAACAGUGUGACAGUUCUUGGAGUUCCCGCUGUGGUGCAGUGGGUUAAGGGUCUGGCAUUGCCGCAGCUGAGCCUCGGACUCCAUCCCUGGCCCCAGGAACUUCCAUAUGCCCUGGGUGCAGCCGAAAAAGAAAAAAAAAAAAAAAA
rnacentral:lncRNA from 1 species